GCGUGCGGGAAGAAGGCCUUCGGGUUGUAAACCGCUUUUAGUCGGAAAGAAAAGGCACGCCCUAAUACGGCGUGUUCUUGACGGUACCGGCGGAAUAAGCACCGGCUAACUACGUGCCAGCAGCCGCGGUAAUACGUAGGGUGCGAGCGUUAAUCGGAAUUACUGGGCGUAAAGCGUGCGCAGGCGGUUCGUUGUGUCUGAUGUGAAAUCCCCGGGCUCAACCCGGGAACUGCAUUGGAAACUGGCGGACUUGAGUGUGGCAGAGGGGGGUGGAAUUCCGCGUGUAGCAGUGAAAUGCGU
rnacentral:rRNA from 1 species